CAACUCUCGGCAAACGGAUAUCUUGGCCCCCGUACCGAUGAAGAGCGCAGCGAAAUGCGAUACGUAGUGUGAAUUGCAGAAUUCCGCGAACCACAGAGACCUUGAACGCACUUGGCGCCCGAGGCUUCGGCCGAGGGCACGUCCGUCUGAGCGUCA
rnacentral:rRNA from 2 species